AACGAACGCUGGCGGCAGGCCUCAAACAUGCAAGUCUAGGGGGUGUAGCAAUACAUCACCGGCGGACGGGUGCGUAACGCGUGGGAAUGUACCUAUUGGUUCGGAACAACACAGGGAAACUUGUGCUAAUACCGAAUGUGCCCGUAAGGGGAAAGAUUUAUCGCCAAUGGAUCAGCCCGCGUUCGAUUAGCUAGUUGGUGAGGUAAUGGCUCACCAAGGCGACGAUCGAUAGCUGUUCUGAGAGGAAGAUCAGCCACACUGGGACUGAGA
rnacentral:rRNA from 1 species